AUUGAACGCUGGCGGCAUGCCUUACACAUGCAAGUCGAACGGCAGCACGGGUGCUUGCACCUGGUGGCGAGUGGCGAACGGGUGAGUAAUACAUCGGAACAUGUCCUGUAGUGGGGGAUAGCCCGGCGAAAGCCGGAUUAAUACCGCAUACGAUCCACGGAUGAAAGCGGGGGACCUUCGGGCCUCGCGCUAUAGGGUUGGCCGAUGGCUGAUUAGCUAGUUGGUGGGGUAAAGGCCUACCAAGGCGACGAUCAGUAGCUGGUCUGAGAGGACGACCAGCCACCUGGGCACGGAGACACGCCCAAGCCCCCUGGGGGAGGCAGGAGUGGGGAAUUUGGGACAAGGGGCGAAAGCUUGAUCAAGAAAGGCCGGGUGUGGGAAGAAGGCCUUGGGGUUGAAAAGCACUUUUGCCGGAAAAGAAAUCUUUGACUCAAAUACGGGGGGGGGAGGAGGGUACCGAAAAAAAAAGCCCGGGCAAACCAGGUG
rnacentral:rRNA from 1 species